rnacentral:rRNA from 1 species
GACGAACGCUGGCGGCGUGCUUAACACAUGCAAGUCGAACGGAAAGGCCCUGCUUUUGUGGGGUGCUCGAGUGGCGAACGGGUGAGUAACACGUGAGUAACCUGCCCUUGACUUUGGGAUAACUUCAGGAAACUGGGGCUAAUACCGGAUAGGAGCUCCUGCUGCAUGGUGGGGGUUGGAAAGUUUCGGCGGUUGGGGAUGGACUCGCGGCUUAUCAGCUUGUUGGUGGGGUAGUGGCUUACCAAGGCUUUGACGGGUAGCCGGCCUGGUAGGGUGACCGGCCACAUUGGGACUGAGAUACGGCCCAGACUCCUACGGGAGGCAGCAGUGGGGAAUAUUGCACAAUGGGCGGAAGCCUGAUGCAGCAACGCCGCGUGCGGGAUGACGGCCUUCGGGUUGUAAACCGCUUUCGCCUGUGACGAAGCGUGAGUGACGGUAAUGGGUAAAGAAGCACCGGCUAACUACGUG